rnacentral:piRNA from 1 species
GAUCUUUACAUUCAGAAGUA